rnacentral:rRNA from 1 species
UCGGGCGAGUAAAGCGGCGAACGGGUGAGUAACACGUAAUCAAUCUACCCCUGAGAUCGGAAUAACCGUGGGAAACUGCGGGUAAUGCCGAAUGGUCCCGGCCCUUCGCAUGGAGGAUCGGGUAAACGGUGGCCUGCUGCUGUUCAGGGAGGAGAUUGCGGCCUAUCAGCUUGUUGGUGGGGUAACGGCCUACCAAGGCGAUGACGGGUAGCCGGUCUGAGAGGACGAUCGGCCACACUGGGACUGAGACACUGCCCAGACUCCUACGGGAGGCUGCAGUCGAGAAUCUUCCGCAAUGGGCGAAAGCCUGACGGAGCGACACCGCGUGCAGGAUGAAGGCCUUCGGGUCGUAAACUGCUGUCACGCUAUAGGAAAGCCCUGCUUUAUAACCAGGGUUGACCAAAGCGAGAGGAAGCACCGGCUAACUCCGUGCCAGCAGCCGCGGUAAUACGGAGGGUGCAAACGUUGUUCGGAAUCACUGGGCAUAAAGCGCACGUAGGCGGUCCGCUCAGUCGGGUGUGAAAGCCCUCGGCUCAACCGGGGAAUAGCAUUCGAUACUGGCGGACUUGAGGAUGGUUGGGGUGAGUGGAACUCCUGGUGGAGCGGUGAAAUGCGUAGAUAUCAGGAGGAACACCAGUGGCGAAAGCGGCUCACUGGGCCAUCACUGACGCUGAGGUGCGAAAGCUAGGGGAGCGAACGGGAUUAGAUACCCCGGUAGUCCUAGCCGUAAACGAUGGGCACUAGGUAGGGGGAACACCUA